rnacentral:rRNA from 1 species
CGGGGAGCACCACAACAGGUGGAGCCUGCGGUUUAAUCGGACUCAACGCCGGGAAACUCACCAGAUAAGACAGCUGAAUGAUAGUCGGGCUGAAGACUCUACUUGACUAGCUGAGAGGAGGUGCAUGGCCGUCGUCAGUUCGUACUGUGAAGCAUCCUGUUAAGUCAGGCAACGAGCGAGACCCACGCCAACAGUUGCCAGCUCGUCCUCCGGGAUGGUGGGGACACUGUUGGGACCGCCUCUGCUAAAGAGGAGAAGGAAUGGGCAACGGUAGGUCAGCAUGCCCCGAAUUAUCUGGGCUACACGCGGGCUACAAUGGGUGGGACAAUGGGUAUCGACACCGAAAGGUGAAGGCAAUCUCCUAAACCCAUCCGUAGUUCGGAUUGUGGGCUGCAACUCGCCCACAUGAAGCUGGAAUCUGUAGUAAUCGUGUCUCAAAAUGGCGCGGUGAAUAUGUCCCUGCUCCUU